rnacentral:lncRNA from 1 species
CCGGAAGUAUCAGAUGAGAAUAACUUAAGUGGUGAAGAAAGUGAGAUGCAUGAAGACACUGAAGAAAUCAAUGCCUUACUUUACUCCGAUGAUGAAGAUGAUGAGUAUACUGGUGGUGAUGAAGAUGAUGAGUAUGUUGGUGGUGGUGGUGGUGAUGAUGAUGAUUAUGAUGAUGAAGUAACAAGCACCGGUCACUCUCCUUUUCUGAUUAGUAGUAGUGGGAUGCGAGGACAUGUAGAGGAUAUAACAGAAGAAGUAGCUGGUUCUGAUGGUCAGAACAAAAGGCAGAAAUUGCUUGAUG